AUGUGGUUUAAUUCGAAGCAACGCGAAGAACCUUACCAGGUCUUGACAUCCCGAUGCUAUUUCUAGAGAUAGAAAGUUACUUCGGUACAUCGGUGACAGGUGGUGCAUGGUUGUCGUCAGCUCGUGUCGUGAGAUGUUGGGUUAAGUCCCGCAACGAGCGCAACCCCUAUUGUUAGUUGCCAUCAUUCAGUUGGGCACUCUAGCGAGACUGCCGGUAAUAAACCGGAGGAAGGUGGGGAUGACGUCAAAUCAUCAUGCCCCUUAUGACCUGGGCUACACACGUGCUACAAUGGUCGGUACAAAGGGGCGCAAGACCGCGAGGUGGAGCAAAUCCCAAAAAACCGGUCUCAGUUCGGAUUGGAGUCUGCAACUCGACUCCAUGAAGUUGGAAUCGCUAGUAAUCGCGUAUCAGCAUGACGCGGUGAAUACGUUCCCGGGCCUU
rnacentral:rRNA from 1 species